AGUUAGUACGGUGCGCGGCUUAGUGUCGCUAGCAGCUUUCGGAUGUUGAAAGUUAUAGGACUCCGUGUGAGUCGGUUCAGGGUCGUUCUGAUUUCGAAUGUCGACUUGUAAAGUCGAUGUAAUGGUUGUGAACUCUUGGUUUAAUGAAGAGGUAUCAGGUGGCUUGAUACUUCGACGUGUCACACUUCCAACUCGAUGUUGGUAGUGAAUCUUCGGAUAUUUCGCGUUUCUUUUGAUAAGUACAUUGGCUGCAGACAAUGUACUGUCGAAAGCUAGGACGGA
rnacentral:lncRNA from 1 species